rnacentral:rRNA from 1 species
GAGUUUGAUCCUGGCUCAGGAUGAACGCUGGCGGCGUGCUUAACACAUGCAAGUCGAACGGGAAAUACUUUAUUGAAACUUCGGUCGAUUUAAUUUAUUUCUAGUGGCGGACGGGUGAGUAACGCGUGGGUAACCUGCCUUAUACUGGGGGAUAACAGCCAGAAAUGACUGCUAAUACCGCAUAAGCGCACAGAACCGCAUGGUCCGGUGUGAAAAACUCCGGUGGUAUAAGAUGGACCCGCGUUGGAUUAGCUAGUUGGCAGGGCAGCGGCCUACCAAGGCGACGAUCCAUAGCCGGCCUGAGAGGGUGAACGGCCACAUUGGGACUGAGACACGGCCCAGACUCCUACGGGAGGCAGCAGUGGGGAAUAUUGCACAAUGGGGGAAACCCUGAUGCAGCGACGCCGCGUGAAGGAAGAAGUAUCUCGGUAUGUAAACUUCUAUCAGCAGGGAAGAUAAUGACGGUACCUGACUAAGAAGCCCCGGCUAACUACGUGCCAGCCGCCGCGGUAAUUC